rnacentral:rRNA from 1 species
UACGUAGGGGGCAAGCGUUGUCCGGAAUCAUUGGGCGUAAAGCGCGUGUAGGCGGCUUGGUAAGUCUGCUGUGAAAGUCCAGGGCUCAACCCUGGGAUGCCGGUGGAUACUGUCGAGCUCGAGUCCGGAAGAGGCGAGUGGAAUUCCUGGUGUAGCGGUGAAAUGCGCAGAUAUCAGGAGGAACACCAAUGGCGAAGGCAGCUCGCUGGGACGUGACUGACGCUGAGACGCGAAAGCGUGGGGAGCAAACAGG